rnacentral:rRNA from 1 species
UACGUAGGGUGCAAGCGUUUGUCCGGAAUUAUUGGGCGUAAAGAGCUUGUAGGCGGUUUGUCGCGUCUGCUGUGAAAUUUCGGGGCUCAACCCCGGGCCUGCAGUGGAUACGGGCUGGCUGGAGGCAGGCAGGGGAGAACGGAAUUCCUGGUGUAGCGGUGAAAUGCGCAGAUAUCAGGAGGAACACCAGUGGCGAAGGCGCCGCGUCUGGGCCGUGACUGACGCUGAGGAGCGAAAGCGUGGGUAGCAACAGG